CCUACGUGAGGCAGCAGUGAGGAAUAUUGGUCAAUGGCCGGAAGGCUUAACCAGCCAAGCCGCGUGAAGGACGACUGUGCCAAGCAUUGUAAACUUCUUUUGUCAAGGGACAAAAUCAGGCUCGAGAGCCUGACCGAGGGUACUUGAAGAAAAAGCAUCGGCUACCUCCGUCCCAGCAGCCGCGGUAAUACAGAGGAUGCGAGCGUUAUCCGGAUUUAUUGGGUUUAAAGGGUGCGUAGGCGGACUGUUAAGUCAGCGGUAAAAGCCCGGGGCUAAACCCCGGUGAGACGUUGAAACUGGCUGUCUUGAGAUGUCGAGAGGUAUGCGGAAUGCGCAGUGUAGCGGUGAAAUGCUUAGAUAUUGCGCAGAACUCCGAUUGCGAAGGCAGCAUACCGGCGGCGAUCUGACGGGGAGGCACGAAAGCGUGGGUAUAGAACAGGAUUAGAUACCCGGGUAGU
rnacentral:rRNA from 1 species